UACGUAGGGCGCAAGCGUUGUCCGGAUUCACUGGGUGUAAAGGGUGCGCAGGCGGGAGUGCAAGUCAGCGGUGAAAUCUCACGGCUCAACCGUGAAACUGCCGUUGAUACUGAGUAGCUUGAGUCCGGGAGAGGUGAGUGGAACUGCGAGUGUAGAGGUGAAAUUCGUAGAUAUUCGCAAGAACAACAGUGGCGAAGGCGGCUCACUGGCCCGGUACUGACGCUGAGGUGCGAAAGCGUGGGGAGCAAACAGG
rnacentral:rRNA from 1 species